CCAUGUCAACAGGGAGCUGCGGAUAUGGCGCGGCUGAGAGGGGCGACCUACUCGCCCGACCUCAGAACCUGAUCUGGGUAAUGCCAGCGUAGGGACCAGAGUGUGGCUGCGU
rnacentral:ncRNA from 2 species